GAUUACUGAUGGAGGGGUGUUGAGGUCAAGUCAGGUCACCUUAAAGGAGAAUUAUAAGUUUAUGGCCCGUAUCUCUUGUGUCCUGCCUAGCAGUUGUUAGGGUGAUGUUGCUGUUAAGCUACUGCGUAUUUAGUUCUGGUUUUGUUUAUUUGUGUGUGUAGAUUUCAAAGUUACUCUUUGAAAAGUCAACAAGUUUAUUUGAUCAAUUAUUCACUAAAGGUCUCAUAUUUGAAAUAGCUGUGCUGUAGUUACCUAUAUUUUCAGGAAGUUUAAUGUAGGGUGGACCACAUGGACAGCUCCUUAGUGGUCAAUGAAAAUAAGGUCAUUUUCUUCAGCGUCACUAAUGAUCUGUCACAACAUCAGACGUGAGUCUCCAUAUCCUCCUCUGUAGGUUUUCUGUGUUCUACCAAACACACAUCAGUUUUCUCACAUGACAAUCUAUGUGUGGAGUUCACUUCACUGACGGAAGAAAGUGGAAAAUAUGUCUUUGUCUUAUAUUCUUCUCAUUUAUGUUGCCGGUGUUGCGGUAAAAGAAAGUUGUGCAGAUUCGGUUCCCACUCCCACUAUUGUAUUUUCCUCUGGGUACAUCAAUGUAGCUACACCUGUUACAGUACGCUGUGAGUCACCAGAAGGCACAGAGUGCAUUUUCUACAGAGAUCACCACCCCAACCCUAUAAGAAAACUGGAUUACAAGCAGGGUGCUUGCCAGUUCAAUUUGUUAUGGAAUGAGUUCUAAAAGUGGAACAAGACUGAAGUAGAUCUCAGCUGUGUAAUUCUACAGAACAGAGAAGAUAAAACGAGCAAAACCUCAAAACCGAGUGAUGCUCGAAGACUUAUAGUGAGUGAUCCAAUUGGAAAGCCCAGUGUUCAUGUGGAGAAUAUUGGGAAUUACCUCAAUCUUCGAUGUGAGGCCAAGGCUUGCACCUCAUGCUACUUUUAUCUGAACAAUGGUGACUCACACUUCAAAAAACUACCCUACAAUGGCAAUGUCUUUGUGGGGAGAGUCGCAGAAGAGGAACUGCAGAGGAAGAGGAGCAGUGCUAGAGAGAUCUUCAUCACCUGUGCCGUGGAGCUGGUGGUAGAGGGUGAAAAUACUGUUACAUCACAGCAUAGUGAACCCCUCGGUAUCACCAUAGAUGUUGUAAAUCCUCCAGGAGCUACUAGUUCCCCAUCAGAGUUCAGUUUAAUCAAACCUGUUCAGGAGGAGACAAGCAGCAAUGUCACAGCCCAAGGAAGAGAAUCCGCCUCAGAGAUCCCCUUCUACCAGUAUACCAGUCUUCGUGCUGUUGUCUAUGUUAUCAUUCUGCUGAUGGAAUCUGUUCUGUGUCUUCUCUGGUAUAGACGUGGUACAUGCCUUCUCAUACUCAUACACAACAUGUAACGGAUGUAGGAACUUCAUUUGAUUACUCUUUUAUUUCUGAGAAUUUUCCUGCACAGCAGGAAAUGCAAACUUGCAGUGCAUUUGAGCAUUAAAAAUGCUUCUAACGUUUGUAAUUUCCCUGUUGAAAUUUUCAAACUUGAUUUUCCUAAAAGAAAUGUAUCAACCCCAACAAAAAUAUCCAUUAAUUAUCAUCCACAUAAUAAUUCACAUUUCCUGUUCCUGCAGGAUUAUUUUCCUGCUGUAGCAAUCUGGCUCAAAUUAAGAUCCUACAUCUGUUUUUUGUUCAGAAGGCUUUUGUCAUGUCUUUUAUUAGCUAUACAACCUGGCGGUAUGAUUUGUUUUCAUCAUACUUUUAUCUCUGAAGUUGAUCCACAAGGCAAUGUCAAACGGAGGUAAGAGUGGUCUAUUUAUUCAUAAAUAUUUACUCAUGCAUUUUUUUUCGAUUAUAUGGUUGAUGUACUGGUGAAUUGUCGUGUCUUGACCAAAACCCAUCUAAGAUGCAAUAUGUGUGUGUAGAACAAUGCUCUUUACUCCCCAUUGCUUGUUAAUGUAUUUUAUAUUAUGCGAAGUGUUUCAUGUGUAAUGAGUUUAUAUGUCUAAAAUACAGCUAUUUUAUUAGCAUUUAAUUUUUUCUUCUCAUGGAUGUUGUGUUUUCCAGGGGAAA